GAUGAACGCUGGCGGCGUGCCUAAUACAUGCAAGUCGAGCGAACAGAUGAGGAGCUUGCUCCUCUGACGUUAGCGGCGGACGGGUGAGUAACACGUGGAUAACCUACCUAUAAGACUGGGAUAACUUCGGGAAACCGGAGCUAAUACCGGAUAAUAUAUUGAACCGCAUGGUUCAAUAGUGAAAGACGGUUUUGCUGUCACUUAUAGAUGGAUCCGCGCCGCAUUAGCUAGUUGGUAAGGUAACGGCUUACCAAGGCAACGAUGCGUAGCCGACCUGAGAGGGUGAUCGGCCACACUGGAACUGAGACGCGGUCCAGACUCCUACGGGAGGCAGCAGUAGGGAAUCUUCCGCAAUGGGCGAAAGCCUGACGGAGCAACGCCGCGUGAGUGAUGAAGGUCUUCGGAUCGUAAAACUCUGUUAUUAGGGAAGAACAAAUGUGUAAGUGACUAUGCACGUCUUGACGGUACCUAAUCAGAAAGCCACGGCUAACUACGUG
rnacentral:rRNA from 1 species